rnacentral:rRNA from 1 species
AUUGAACGCUGGCGGCAUGCCUAACACAUGCAAGUCGAACGGCAGCACGGUCUAGCUUGCUAGAUGGGUGGCGAGUGGCGCACGGGCGAGUAAUACGUAGGAAUAUGCCUUGAAGUGGAGGAUAACUUGGGGAAACUCAAGCUAAUACCGCAUAAGCUCUAAGGAGGAAAGCUGGGGACCUUCGGGCCUGGUGCUUUAAGAUUAGCCUACGUCCGAUUAGCUAGUUGGUAGGGUAAAGGCCUACCAAGGCGACGAUCGGUAGCUGGUCUGAGAGGAUGAUCAGCCACACUGGGACUGAGACACGGCCCAGACUCCUACGGGAGGCAGCAGUGGGGAAUAUUGGACAAUGGGGGCAACCCUGAUCCAGCGAUGCCGCGUGUGUGAAGAAGGCCUACGGGUUGUAAAGCACUUUCGGUGGGGAGGAGGACUUGAAGGUUAAGAGCUGUCAAGUUGGACGUUACCCACAAAAGAAGCACCGGCUAACUCCGUGCCAGCCGCCGCGGUAACAC